rnacentral:rRNA from 1 species
UACAGAGGUGCCGAGCGUUAGGCGGAAUCACUGGGCUUAAAGCGUGUGUAGGUGGAAGCGUAAGUACCUUGUGAAAUCCCACGGCUCAACCGUGGAACUGCUUGGUAUACUGCGUUUCUUGAGCCAACUAGGGGCUAUCGGAACAAGUGGUGGAGCGGUGAAAUGCGUAGAUAUCACUUGGAACGCCAAUGGUGAAAACAGAUAGCUGGGGUUGUGCUGACACUGAGACACGAAAGCCAGGGGAGCAAACGGG